UAACACGUGGGUAACCUGCCUGUAAGACUGGGAUAACUCCGGGAAACCGGGGCUAAUACCGGAUGCUUGUUUGAACCGCAUGGUUCAAACAUAAAAGGUGGCUUCGGCUACCACUUACAGAUGGACCCGCGGCGCAUUAGCUAGUUGGUGAGGUAAUGGCUCACCAAGGCAACGAUGCGUAGCCGACCUGAGAGGGUGAUCGGCCACACUGGGACUGAAACGCGGCCCAAACUCCUACGGGAGGCAGCAGUAGGGAAUCUUCCGCAAUGGACGAAAGUCUGACGGAGCAACGCCGCGUGAGUGAUGAAGGUUUUCGGAUCGUAAAGCUCUGUUGUUAGGGAAGAACAAGUACCGUUCGAAUAGGGCGGUACCUUGACGGUACCUAACCAGAAAGCCACGGCUAACUACGUGCCAGCAGCCGCGGUAAUACGUAGGUGGCAAGCGUUGUCCGGAAUUAUUGGGCGUAAAGGGCUCGCAGGCGGUUCCUUAAGUCUGAUGUGAAAGCCCCCGGCUCAACCGGGGAGGGUCAUUGGAAACUGGGGAACUUGAGUGCAGAAGAGGAGAGUGGAAUUCCACGUGUAGCGGUGAAAUGCGUAGAGAUGUGGAGGAACACCAGUGGCGAAGGCGACUCUCUGGUCUGUAACUGACGCUGAGGAGCGAAAGCGUGGGGAGCGAACAGGAUUAGAUACCCUGGUAGUCCACGCCGUAAACGAUGAGUGCUAAGUGUUAGGGGGUUUCCGCCCCUUAGUGCUGCAGCUAACGCAUUAAGCACUCCSCCUGGGGAGUACGGUCGCAAGACUGAAACUCAAAGGAAUUGACGGGGGCCCGCACAAGCGGUGGAGCAUGUGGUUUAAUUCGAAGCAACGCGAAGAACCUUACCAGGUCUUGACAUCCUCUGACAAUCCUAGAGAUAGGACGUCCCCUUCGGGGGCAGAGUGACAGGUGGUGCAUGGUUGUCGUCAGCUCGUGUCGUGAGAUGUUGGGUUAAGUCCCGCAACGAGCGCAACCCUUGAUCUUAGUUGCCAGCAUUCAGUUGGGCACUCUAAGGUGACUGCCGGUGACAAACCGGAGGAAGGUGGGGAUGACGUCAAAUCAUCAUGCCCCUUAUGACCUGGGCUACACACGUGCUACAAUGGACAGAACAAAGGGCAGCGAAACCGCGAGGUUAAGCCAAUCCCACAAAUCUGUUCUCAGUUCGGAUCGCAGUCUGCAACUYGACUGCGUGAAGCUGGAAUCGCUAGUAAUCGCGGAUCAGCAUGCCSCGGUGAAUACGUUCCCG
rnacentral:rRNA from 1 species